rnacentral:tRNA from 1 species
GCCUUGUUAGCUUGGUUGGUAGCGCGUCUGCCUUGUAAGCGGAAGGCCGCGGGUUCGAUUUCCACCCGGGGCG